rnacentral:tRNA from 1 species
AUUUAUAUAGUUUAAGUAAAACAUUACAUUUUCACUGUGAAAAAAAAGUAAAUUCUUUUAUAAAUU